rnacentral:lncRNA from 1 species
AGCAGCCUUUCAAGGUACAAGACUGAGUGACCCGUAAGAGAGACCUAAGCCUGCCAAAUCCUAGGCAGGCACCGAGGAGUUACUUUUGGUCGUGGAGAAGGCCUAAUUGUUGUUGCUGUCAGAAGUCCAUCUACCGAUCUGUUAGGACCUCCACAACGCUGAAUAGAUCCAUCCUUUCAUCUCUGUUAACUGGAACAGCUCUCGAAGGUCCUUCUACAAAAGUUGGUAUCUUUUCCAACCACCUAGUGCCUGGGAAUAUAGAAGACAACAGGACUGUUCAGAGGAUGUGGUCUCAUGGAACCUGCUA